AGGAUUAACGCUGGCGGCGUGCCUAACACAUGCAAGUCGAACGAGGUAGCAAUACCUAGUGGCAGACGGGUGAGUAGCGCGUGGUCAACCUACCGUUGAGUGGGGGAUAACUAGCCGAAAGGUUAGCUAAUACCGCAUACGUCUCCGAGGGGCAUCCCUUGGCGAUAAAAGGAGCAAUCCGCUCGAUGACGGGACCGCGUCCCAUUAGCUAGUUGGUGGGGUAACGGCCUACCAAGGCAUCGAUGGGUAGCUGGUUUGAGAGAGCGACCAGCCACACUGGGACUGAGAUACGGGCCCAGACUCCUACGGGAGGCAGCAGUGAGGAAUUUUCCGCAAUGGGCGAAAGCCUGACGGAGCGACGCCGCGUGUGGGAAGAAGGCCUUCGGGUCGUAAACCACUGUCGAAGGGAAGAUAAUGACGGUACCUUGGAGGAAGCCCCGGCUAACUACGUGCCAGCAGCCGC
rnacentral:rRNA from 1 species